rnacentral:rRNA from 1 species
UGGGGAAUAUUGGACAAUGGGCGAAAGCCUGAUCCAGCCAUGCCGCGUGAGUGAUGAAGGCCCUAGGGUUGUAAAGCUCUUUUGUGCGGGAAGAUAAUGACGGUACCGCAAGAAUAAGCCCCGGCUAACUUCGUGCCAGCAGCCGCGGUAAUACGAAGGGGGCUAGCGUUGCUCGGAAUCACUGGGCGUAAAGGGUGCGUAGGCGGGUUUCUAAGUCAGAGGUGAAAGCCUGGAGCUCAACUCCAGAACUGCCUUUGAUACUGGAAGUCUUGAGUAUGGGAGAGGUGAGUGGAACUGCGAGUGUAGAGGUGAAAUUCGUAGAUAUUCGCAAGAACACCAGUGGCGAAGGCGGCUCACUGGCCCAUUACUGACGCUGAGGCACGAAAGCGUGGGGAGCAAACA